UACAGAGGGUGCGAGCGUUAAUCGGAAUGACUGGGCGUAAAGGGCGUGUAGGUUGUUUUAUAAGUUGGAUGUGAAAUCCCUGGGCUUAACCUAGGAAUGGCAUACAAGACUGUAAGACUAGAGUACGGUAGAGGGUAGUGGAAUUUCCGGUGUAGCGGUGAAAUGCGUAGAGAUCGGAAGGAACACCAGUGGCGAAGGCGGCUACCUGGACUGAUACUGACACUGAGGCGCGAGAGCGUGGGGAGCAAACAGG
rnacentral:rRNA from 1 species